GGGUUGUGAGGUUAAGCGACUAAGCGUACACGGUGGAUGCCCUGGCAGUCAGAGGCGAUGAAGGACGUGCUAAUCUGCGAAAAGCGUCGGUAAGGUGAUAUGAACCGUUAUAGCCGGCGAUGUCCGAAUGGGGAAACCCAGUGCAAUUCGUUGCACUAUCGUUUGAUGAAUACAUAGUCAAACGAGGCGAACCGGGGGAACUGAAACAUCUAAGUACCCCGAGGAAAAGAAAUCAACCGAGAUUCCCCCAGUAGCGGCGAGCGAACGGGGAGCAGCCCGGAGUCUGAAUCAGCUUGUGUGUUAGUGGAAGCGUCUGGAAAGUCGCAGGGUACAGGGUGAUACUCCCGUACACUAAAACACACAGGCUGUGAACUCGAAGAGUAGGGCGGGACACGUGGUAUCCUGUCUGAAUAUGGGGGGACCAUCCUCCAAGGCUAAAUACUCCUGACUGACCGAUAGUGAACCAGUACCGUGAGGGAAAGGCGAAAAGAACCCCGGCGAGGGGAGUGAAAAAGAACCUGAAACCGUGUACGUACAAGCAGUAGGAGCCCCACCACCAAAGCGUUUCGCUUUGCGUGGUGCGCAAAAUGCGUAACGACAGCAUGAUGGACGGUUAACGGAGCGUCAGCGACGUUCAACCUCAAAAAUCAGGCAGUGGAGCGUUUUGGGGUGGGGUGACUGCGUACCUUUUGUAUAAUGGGUCAGCGACUUAUAUUCUGUAGCAAGGUUAACCGUAUAGGGGAGCCGCAGGGAAACCGAGUCUUAACUGGGCGUUAAGUUGCAGGGUAUAGACCCGAAACCCGGUGAUCUAGCCAUGGGCAGGUUGAAGGUUGGGUAACACUAACUGGAGGACCGAACCGACUAAUGUUGAAAAAUUAGCGGAUGACUUGUGGCUGGGGGUGAAAGGCCAAUCAAACCGGGAGAUAGCUGGUUCUCCCCGAAAGCUAUUUAGGUAGCGCCUCGUGAAUUCAUCUUCGGGGGUAGAGCACUGUUUCGGCUAGGGGGUCAUCCCGACUUACCAACCCGAUGCAAACUACGAAUACCGAAGAAUGUUAUCACGGGAGACACACGGCGGGUGCUAACGUCCGUCGUGAAGAGGGAAACAACCCAGACCGCCAGCUAAGGUCCCAAAGUCAUGGUUAAGUGGGAAACGAUGUGGGAAGGCCCAGACAGCCAGGAUGUUGGCUUAGAAGCAGCCAUCAUUUAAAGAAAGCGUAAUAGCUCACUGGUCGAGUCGGCCUGCGCGGAAGAUGUAACGGGGCUAAACCAUGCACCGAAGCUGCGGCAGCGACACUAUGUGUUGUUGGGUAGGGGAGCGUUCUGUAAGCCGUUGAAGGUGGCCUGUGAGGGUUGCUGGAGGUAUCAGAAGUGCGAAUGCUGACAUAAGUAACGAUAAUGCGGGUGAAAAACCCGCACGCCGGAAGACCAAGGGUUCCUGUCCAACGUUAAUCGGGGCAGGGUGAGUCGACCCCUAAGGCGAGGCCGAAAGGCGUAGUCGAUGGGAAACAGGUUAAUAUUCCUGUACUUGGUGUUACUGCGAAGGGGGGACGGAGAAGGCUAUGUUGGCCGGGCGACGGUUGUCCCGGUUUAAGCAUGUAGGCGGAUGUUCCAGGUAAAUCCGGAACGUUACUAACGCUGAGGUGUGAUGACGAGGCACUACGGUGCUGAAGUGACAAAUGCCCUGCUUCCAGGAAAAGCCUCUAAGCAUCAGGUAACAUCAAAUCGUACCCCAAACCGACACAGGUGGUCAGGUAGAGAAUACCAAGGCGCUUGAGAGAACUCGGGUGAAGGAACUAGGCAAAAUGGUGCCGUAACUUCGGGAGAAGGCACGCUGAUGGUAGGUGAAGUGACUUGCUCAUGGAGCUGAAAUCAGUCGAAGAUACCAGCUGGCUGCAACUGUUUAUUAAAAACACAGCACUGUGCAAACACGAAAGUGGACGUAUACGGUGUGACGCCUGCCCGGUGCCGGAAGGUUAAUUGAUGGGGUUAUCCUCACGGAGAAGCUCUUGAUCGAAGCCCCGGUAAACGGCGGCCGUAACUAUAACGGUCCUAAGGUAGCGAAAUUCCUUGUCGGGUAAGUUCCGACCUGCACGAAUGGCGUAAUGAUGGCCAGGCUGUCUCCACCCGAGACUCAGUGAAAUUGAACUCGCUGUGAAGAUGCAGUGUACCCGCGGCAAGACGGAAAGACCCCGUGAACCUUUACUAUAGCUUGACACUGAACACUGGUCCUUGAUGUGUAGGAUAGGUGGGAGGCUUUGAAGUGUGGACGCCAGUCUGCAUGGAGCCGUCCUUGAAAUACCACCCUUUAAUGGCUGGUGUUCUAACGUGGGCCCGUGAUCCGGGUUGCGGACAGUGUCUGGUGGGUAGUUUGACUGGGGCGGUCUCCUCCUAAAGAGUAACGGAGGAGCACGAAGGUCAGCUAAUCCUGGUCGGACAUCAGGAGGUUAGUGCAAUGGCAUAAGCUGGCUUGACUGCGAGCGUGACGGCGCGAGCAGGUGCGAAAGCAGGUCAUAGUGAUCCGGUGGUUCUGAAUGGAAGGGCCAUCGCUCAACGGAUAAAAGGUACUCCGGGGAUAACAGGCUGAUACCGCCCAAGAGUUCAUAUCGACGGCGGUGUUUGGCACCUCGAUGUCGGCUCAUCACAUCCUGGGGCUGAAGUAGGUCCCAAGGGUAUGGCUGUUCGCCAUUUAAAGUGGUACGCGAGCUGGGUUUAGAACGUCGUGAGACAGUUCGGUCCCUAUCUGCCGUGGGCGCUGGAGAAUUGAGGGGGGCUGCUCCUAGUACGAGAGGACCGGAGUGGACGCAUCACUGGUGUUCGGGUUGUCAUGCCAAUGGCAUUGCCCGGUAGCUAAAUGCGGAAGAGAUAAGUGCUGAAAGCAUCUAAGCACGAAACUUGCCCCGAGAUGAGUUCUCCCUGACUCCUUGAGAGUCCUGAAGGAACGUUGAAGACGACGACGUUGAUAGGCCGGGUGUGUAAGCGCAGCGAUGCGUUGAGCUAACCGGUACUAAUGAACCGUGAGGCUUAACCUUACAACGCCGAAG
rnacentral:rRNA from 13 species